rnacentral:snRNA from 1 species
UUUGUAUACAAGUUGUUUUGGUAA